GUCUUGGUGGCUCAGUUGGUUAGAGCGUUGGUCUCAUACAUAUGACUCAAUCUAAGGUUGGGACAUCCAAAGGUCGUGAGUUCGAGUCUCACCCAGGACA